GAAUAAUAUUAUAGUAAAUGUGUUAACAUGGCCUAAGUCCAGGAAUAUUACAAAAUUCUUGGGCAUGUUUUGACCAUUUAAUACCAGAUAAAUAUAUAGUUCUUUGGGAAAAUAUGAGCUCUUUUGUACUAAAAAGUUUUAUUUACAAAAAAAUAUAUUGUAACUUAUAUUGACCCCUCAUAAAAAGGAUAUUUAUAAAAUUGAGGGGUUGUUCCCAACCUGAUUAUGACUUGGAUGGAGAAUUGUCUCAUUAAUUGGCACACAUACAUAUACCAAAUCUAAUUAUU
rnacentral:lncRNA from 1 species